rnacentral:rRNA from 1 species
CCUACGGGAGACAGCAGUGGGGAAUAUUGCACAAUGGGGGGAACCCUGAUGCAGCAACGCCGCGUGCAGGAUGACGGCUCUAUGAGUUGUAAACUGCUUUUGUACGAGAAUAAUAGUUCUUACGUGUAGGGAUUUGAAUGUAUCGUACGAAUAAGGAUCGGCUAACUCCGUGCCAGCAGCCGCGGUAAUACGGAGGAUUCGAGCGUUAUCCGGAUUUAUUGGGGUUAAAGGGUGCGGAGGCUGUCGGAUAAGUUAGAGGUGAAAUCCCGAGGCUCAACUUCGGAAUUGCCGCUGAUACUGUUCGGCUAGAGAGGAGUUGCGGUAGGCGGAAUGUAUGGGGUAGCGGUGAAAUGCUUAGAGAUCAUACAGAACACCGAUUGCGAAGGCAGCUUACCAAGCUACUUCUGACGUUGAGGCACGAAAGCGUGGGGAGCGAACAGGAUUAGAUACCCCUGUAGUC